rnacentral:piRNA from 1 species
AACAGAAAGCAGUGUGUGGCGAGG